rnacentral:rRNA from 1 species
UAGGGAAUCUUCCACAAUGGACGAAAGUCUGAUGGAGCACGCCGCGUGAGUGAAGAAGGGUUUCGGCUCGUAAAGCUCUGUUGGUAGUGAAGAAAGAUAGAGGUAGUAACUGGCCUUUAUUUGACGGUAAUUACUUAGAAAGUCACGGCUAACCACGUGCC